UCCGUUGCGGAGCACAGGCUCCGGACGCGCAGGCUCAGCGGCCAUGGCUCACGGGCCCAGCCGCUCCGCGGCAUGUGGGAUCUUCCCGGACCGGGGCAUGAACCCGUGUCCCCUGCAUUGGCAGGCGGACUCUCAACCACUGCACCACCAGGAAAGCCCCUAUAAAGCUCUUUUGAGGUACUUGGUGAUGGUGAAGGGAGGAAAUGAUCAAUGCUCCAGGAAUCUCAAACUGGAUUUAGGGAUCUCUCCAAGGCUCCAUAAGAGAACAUCACAGAGAAGAUGUUAAGGUAUCAACUUAUACAAUGACUACAACAUAGUAAGCCAGCAUUAUAUCUCAUAGGUGAUUGGACAGCUAGGGCAAAGUUUAAAAUGAGAACUUGCCUUGAGAUAUCCAUUCUAAGCAUGGUAGCAAGCAGAGAGGGCUCACCAUGAAGUAAACUGUGCUGGUAGUUCCCCCAGAUUUAUUCUGGGUGCUACUGUUCAGCUCCAAUUUCUGUUUAUUAGUUGGUGUGGCAAAAGAUUUCUGGUUACUUGGAAACAUUGCUUAGAAAAGAAUGCUUGAAGGCAUUCUAAAGGUGGAAGGACCAUUUCUACCAGUUCCUUUAGAUCCUCCUUAUUCUUCAUAAUGGAAUCCUGGGCUUUCCAUAUGACAUAUUCCAGUUACCUGCUGGGAUUACUAGGGUAGAUUACUGGGACCUAGGAUGGAGUGUAAUGUCUCAGCACUGGAUAGCAGAGUAGUGAAAGAGAUGGGAUGUGUUUACAUGGAUGAAGGAAAACAGACUUGGAAAACCAGCAUUGAUAACUUCUGCCUUCGAAGUGCCAUUAUAAGUCUUACAGUUCCUAUCAUGAACGGAGGGACAGUGUCUUCCACUUGAAUGAUCUUACCUAUUGCCUAAUGCUGGUCAAUACACUGGACAUUGGCUUGCUGGGUGUUAAUAGAAUUCCUUUUGUGCAGUCUGUCAUUUGUGUAGGCACUUAACUCCUACCAGAGUAUUUGUGGUACUGGAGGACGCAGGAAAACAGGGAAACCAAAGAGGAGAGGGCAUAACUUUUACAGAAGACAGGAUAUUUUGAGUGAAGAAGUGUGGUAAGUUGGAUAUGACUUAUUCUGUGGUGAUAUGGAAGAUGAACCAGUUGGAUUCUCUGUAGGAGGCAAAACAGGUAAAGCAAAUACCCUUUGGGUACCGAGGUGAUGUGUUAUUUAAUCCAGCAGUUUAAGAGUGGCAAGUGGAGGAUAGGCGAGACUUAAAACUGGCAGGGAUGCACUUCCAAGAGAGGACAUCCUAACCACUUGUGGGAGAAGAUGAUGAUAAACUUGUAGACAUCUAAGAAGUCCCCUAUUCCAGAAUUGCUAACACCUUAUCUGGCAUCUUGUGGGUUCCUUGACCAGAAAGAAAGUUUCUCCCAAGUACUACCCUAAGGCUGUCAACUAUUCAUUUCCGAGUAUUUUUGGAGGCAGUGUUGCAUGAGUGAUAGAGCACUGUUCAGGUGUUCAUGGAAUGUCACAUUAAAGUAAUAAUAAGCUGUCAACCCAGUAGACUACAGUCUACUAUGAAGUCAUGCAAGAAGUUGUGGGCAAUGUAUAUGUGUGGCACCAUUGUAUAUUAGAGGGCUAUUCCACAAGUGAACUCAUAGAUUAGGCACCUCAGAAGUCAGAAGACCUAUGGCUAUGUGGAGGUCAAGAAUAGGCAGGAACAAGAAAUAGUUACAGUCUCAUUUCAUUGAAAUCUCACACUUACUCUGGAAGUAGGCCUCAUUAUUUUUCUUAAGCACCUGUGUGACUCUAUAAGGGCUGAGAAGAGCCUGAUAAAUUGAAUUUUAAGUUGAUGCGCUCAAGAAGGCAUAGGCUGAGACAUGGGCUCUGAGGCACAGGCCUUUUUUCUUUUUCCCCUAUACCCGUAUCUAUGAUUGGCACAUAACUCUUUAGAUCUGGGAAGUUCCGAAAUUGAAGUAAAGUUGGUCAGGUUGUGGGCCUCCAACUAGGAAGACUUACAAUCAUGAAGUAGCUUGGGUAGCAGGUGGCAGUACCAACCAUUCAACAGAUUACUCCUUGGGCAUUAUGGUAGGGAUGGUUUCCUGGAUGGCUGUUUCACCCCUAAGUGAGUGUGUAGUUGCAGUGUUGGCCUGCAUUAGUGUAACCUUGAGUUACAGUGGGGAAGCAGCCAUGCCUCUUGACUAAAACUUGGUCUAUAAAGCUGCUGUCUGAGAAUCUAUAAUUGCCUCCUAGAGGCAGUCCCCCGCUAUCCAUAGUUCUACCAGAUGGAGAACAACUGUUCUUGCUGGUAAGGUCUGGGACGCUGUAAACCUUGAUGGGUCCUUGCCCUCAUCUUUUGCCAGAAUGAGUAGUAUCAGUGGAUCUGAAAAGGUAUGGACCUACUGGCAGUCGUGUGUCUAUUUUUGCUGAGAAAGUUACCUAGUUCAGAGAGCCUGGGGGGAGCUAGGGCACAGGUCGAGGUAACCAAGAGUACAAGUUAGGGGGUUCAGUUCUAGAACAAAGCCUUGGAGCCCCUUGCAAAACUAAGACAGUAUGAAAUAUGUAAUUUCAGCACAACACAGCUGGCCCUGCCCCUUCUUGUAGGAGCUUUGGAUAGGACUGGUUAACUUCUAUCAAUAGGAACACACUAAAUUUGGAGGUUAACAUUGCUGGAAGGGCCAGAAUAGUAACGACCAAGUUAAUUAAGGUUAAUUAGUGGGGAUUUUCGCCUUUCAAGAAGAGGGUCUUAUUCUUUUUUGAGAUAGAGGAUAGGAGAAGCCCAGCCUAAGCUGCUUUCUUCUAUCAUCAAGAACUACUUUGAGCUGAGAAGAAGGGACUAACCAGUGUUGGCCUGCAUUAGUGUAACCUUAGAGGUGAAACUGACUUAUUUUUUAGGUAGUCCUGGGUUACCCAGUUAUAGAUCCUCUGAAUUAAGGGGAACCAUCUAACGGAAUAGUUGACCAUAUGUAAAAUACCUUGCUUAAGAUUAUAUCACAUUAAUCAGUUUCUACUUAAAUUUCCAUGAUGAGUAAAGGGGAUUGGGAAGAGGUACACACCAAGAGGAUCUUCCUAUGGCCUUGACAACUACAAACAAUAUCCUCUCUACGGUGCCUCUUCUCAUGAAUAGCUACUGGGAGCUUCAGCCUUACUUGGAGCUUCACCAAAGUAACGUGAGACUAUAUUAUAGAAGUUCCAUCCUUGGCUAUGAACUAUUUCAUUCCCAUUUGGUUUAUGACACAGUUUACUCACCAUAGAUUUUCAAGUCCACACAGCUCCUCACUUAAGAACAGUAUGGUAUGAGAUGUCAGAAUGUUUCAGGAAACCAAAUGUAUGAUCUGCAAGAAGAAAAUAACUCCAAGGAGAGAUGAGCUCUGCCUUCAAUUCAUUAAGGAUUUUUGGAUGAAACAUCUGCAGAGGGCCUGGAAGGCUCACUGGUUACUAGCAAGAAGAAUGGAAAGGAAGAAGAAAAGCAACCAAAGGUUCAUUUGUUUUUGUUGCUGGACUUUAUGUUCUCAAAAACAUGUGGAAAUGUGCCACGUUCCCAAAAUAUAGAGUAG